rnacentral:rRNA from 1 species
UAGGGAAUCUUCCGCAAUGGGCGAAAGCUUGACGGAGCAACGCCGCGUGAGUGAUGAAGGUCUUCGGAUCGUAAAACUCUGUUAUUAGGGAAGAACAAAUGUGUAAGUAACUAUGCACGUCUUGACGGCACCUAAUCAGAAAGCCACGGCUAACUACGUGCCAGCAGCCGCGGUAAUACGUAGGUGGCAAGCGUUAUCCGGAAUUAUUGGGCGUAAAGCGCGCGUAGGCGGUUUUUUAAGUCUGAUGUGAAAGCCCACGGCUCAACCGUAGAGGGUCAUUGGAAACUGGAAAACUUGAGUGCAGAAGAGGAAAGUGGAAUUCCAUGUGUAGCGGUGAAAUGCGCAGAGAUAUGGAGGAACACCAGUGGCGAAGGCGACUUUCUGGUCUGUAACUGACGCUGAUGUGCGAAAGCGUGGGGAUCAAACAGG